GACGAACGCUGGCGGCGUGCUUAACACAUGCAAGUCGAACGGAAAGACCCUGCUUUUGUGGGGUGCUCGAGUGGCGAACGGGUGAGUAACACGUGAGUAACCUGCCCUUGACUUUGGGAUAACUUCAGGAAACUGGGGCUAAUACCGGAUAGGAGCUCCUGCUGCAUGGUGGGGGUUGGAAAGUUUCGGCGGUUGGGGAUGGACUCGCGGCUUAUCAGCUUGUUGGUGGGGUAGUGGCUUACCAAGGCUUUGACGGGCAGCCGGCCUGAGAGGGUGACCGGCCACAUUGGGACUGAGAUACGGCCCAGACUCCUACGGGAGGCAGCAGUGGGGAAUAUUGCACAAUGGGCGGAAGCCUGAUGCAGCAACGCCGCGUGCGGGAUGACGGCCUUCGGGUUGUAAACCGCUUUCGCCUGUGACGAAGCGUGAGUGACGGUAAUGGGUAAAGAAGCACCGGCUAACUACGUG
rnacentral:rRNA from 1 species